CAAAAAUAAUUUACUCAUUUUAAUAUACAACAGGGUUAAUAACUGCGACUUGCUGAGUGCCUACUAUGUGCCUAGCACUAUAUAUUCCUGUGAUCCUUAUAGCAACCACGUGAAAUCAGUGUUAGUAUUGCCACUUUACAGAUGCAGAAACUGAGACUCAGAGAGGUUAACUCCCCAUCCUGAAGCCACAUAGCUAGGAAACUGAAAAACUCAGAUUUCAACCCAUGUCUUGCUGACUGCAAACUUGCACACACUGUUGUUCUUUCAGAUAAUAGUUCAAAAGUGAAAUAACAAGAGUCCUAGAAAAAGGCUGACUCCAGUCUGGGAUUGUCUGGGCAUUGUAGCAGCUUCUAUUCUUUGUUGGUAAUUGUCUGUUCCCUAGCUUCCCUGUAAGCCGCCCUACUUCCUGCUCCUUUGAUGUUGGGCUGAGCCACGUGACUUGCUUUACCCAGUGGUGUCCCACUGGGGGGACUCACUCCACAUCUGAGCAGAGCCUUUCAAUGUGCUUUCUGGUUGAGCUCUUUCUCCCUUGAGCUUCUGCCCUCUGCCACAAGAACAGCAUGCUGCAUAUGUGGGCUGCCCCUUCAGCUGGGGUCCUGGAAUAAGAGAAGACCCAUGGUGCUGAGCCAGGCCCAGCAGAUCCCAGAAGAACCAAGGACAGCUCCUGCUGACCAGCAGCUCUCACAUAAUGGGAGCAGGAAAUAAAGGCUCACUGUUGUAAGGCAUUGAGAUUUGGCAGGAGUGGGUGGAGGUUGUUGCCACAGGAAACGCUGGCUAAUGCAGACAUGGUCCCAGAGGCAGGAGAUAGACCAGGCCUUCUCCACCCAGUCCAUAAGCCUGCACACAUGGAGCUCCCAUUGAGCAUUUCAGUGCCUCCCAGGGCCUAGGGCUUAUGUAGAGCACUGGAAACGUAAGCAAAAAUGUUCCUCCUUAGAUAAUGCUCAUGGGCCACAGCUGGGUGACAGAUCAAGUCACCUCUGGCUUGAGAUGGUCAGAGAAUGGCCAAUGGCCUAUGCCUUUUUGAAGGGUAAUAUGAACUGGUCCUCCUUCAUUCAUUUAUUUUUUCAAAACAACCAUCAAAUGCACUACUUCUAAGGUAA
rnacentral:lncRNA from 10 species